GCUAGCUACAGGCUUAACACAUGCAAGUCGAGGGGCAGCAUUUCAGUUUGCUUGCAAACUGGAGAUGGCGACCGGCGCACGGGUGAGUAACACGUAUCCAACCUGCCGAUAACUCGGGGAUAGCCUUUCGAAAGAAAGAUUAAUACCCGAUGGUAUAAUCAGACCGCAUGGUCUUGUUAUUAAAGAAUUUCGGUUAUCGAUGGGGAUGCGUUCCAUUAGGCAGUUGGUGAGGUAACGGCUCACCAAACCUUCGAUGGAUAGGGGUUCUGAGAGGAAGGUCCCCCACAUUGGAACUGAGACACGGUCCGAACUCCUACGGGAGGCAGCAGUGAGGAAUAUUGGUCAAUGGGCGCAGGCCUGAACCAGCCAAGUAGCGUGAAGGAUGACUGCCCUAUGGGUUGUAAACUUCUUUUAUAUGGGAAUAAAGUUUUCCACGUGUGGAAUUUUGUAUGUACCAUAUGAAUAAGGAUCGGCUAACUCCGUGCCAGCAGCCGCGGUAAUACGGAGGAUCCGAGCGUUAUCCGGAUUUAUUGGGUUUAAAGGGAGCGUAGGUGGACAGUUAAGUCAGUGUGAAAAGUUGCGGGCUCAACCGUAAAAUUGCAGUUGAUACUGGCUGUCUUGAGUGCAGUAGAGGUGGGCGGAAUUCGUGGUGUAGCGGUGAAAUGCUUAGAUAUCACGAAGAACUCCGAUUGCGAAGGCAGCUCACUGGACUGCAACUGACACUGAUGCUCGAAAGUGUGGGUAUCAAACAGGAUUAGAUACCCUGGUAGUCCACACAGUAAACGAUGAAUACUCGCUGUUUGCGAUAUACAGUAAGCGGCCAAGCGAAAGCAUUAAGUAUUCCACCUGGGGAGUACGCCGGCAACGGUGAAACUCAAAGGAAUUGACGGGGGCCCGCACAAGCGGAGGAACAUGUGGUUUAAUUCGAUGAUACGCGAGGAACCUUACCCGGGCUUAAAUUGCAUUUGAAUAUAUUGGAAACAGUAUAGCCGUAAGGCAAAUGUGAAGGUGCUGCAUGGUUGUCGUCAGCUCGUGCCGUGAGGUGUCGGCUUAAGUGCCAUAACGAGCGCAACCCUUAUCUUUAGUUACUAACAGGUCAUGCUGAGGACUCUAGAGAGACUGCCGUCGUAAGAUGUGAGGAAGGUGGGGAUGACGUCAAAUCAGCACGGCCCUUACGUCCGGGGCUACACACGUGUUACAAUGGGGGGUACAGAAGGCAGCUACCUGGUGACAGGAUGCUAAUCCCAAAAGCCUCUCUCAGUUCGGAUCGAAGUCUGCAACCCGACUUCGUGAAGCUGGAUUCGCUAGUAAUCGCGCAUCAGCCAUGGCGCGGUGAAUACGUUCCCGGGCCUUGUACACACCGCCCGUCAAGCCAUGAAAGCCGGGGGUACCUGAAGUACGUAACCGCAAGGAGCGUCCUAGGGUAAAACUGGUAAUUGG
rnacentral:rRNA from 1 species